rnacentral:rRNA from 1 species
UACGGAGGGUGCAAGCGUUAAUCGGAAUUACUGGGCGUAAAGCGCGCGUAGGUGGUUUGCCAAGUUGAAUGUGAAAUCCCCGGGCUCAACCUGGGAACUGCAUCCAAAACUGGCAGGCUAGAGUAUGGUAGAGGGUGGUGGAAUUUCCUGUGUAGCGGUGAAAUGCGUAGAUAUAGGAAGGAACAUCAGUGGCGAAGGCGACCACCUGGACUGAUACUGACACUGAGGUGCGAAAGCGUGGGGAGCAAACAGG